rnacentral:rRNA from 1 species
CGGAGGGUGCAAGCGUUAUCCGGAUUCACUGGGUUUAAAGGGUGCGUAGGCGGGCAGGUAAGUCAGUGGUGAAAUCCUAGAGCUUAACUCUAGAACUGCCAUUGAUACUAUCUGUCUUGAAUAUUGUGGAGGUAAGCGGAAUAUGUCAUGUAGCGGUGAAAUGCUUAGAUAUGACAUAGAACACCUAUUGCGAAGGCAGCUUACUACGCAUAUAUUGACGCUGAGGACACGAAAGCGUGGGGAUCAAACAGGAUUAGAUACCCUGGUAGUCCACGCCCUAAACGAUGAUUACUCGACAUUAGCGAUACACAGUUAGUGUCUGAGCGAAAGCAUUAAGUAAUCCACCUGGGAAGUACGACCGCAAGGUUG